CUCUGUGACACAGGCUACUUUCCCCAUAAAUGAAAACAAAACUGUAACAACAAAUUAAUAAACUCUUGCGGCAGCCAGGGAGUUCCCUCCACUAUACACUCCUGAAUCUUAAGGCUGAGAAGAUAUCGGUGACCAUAUACGUACUAUUCUGCAUGUUUAGUUUAUUUUUUCGGUCUAUUUUAUAUUGGAACGCAAUAAGUACGUAUAGCGCUUUUAUUAUCACAAAUUAUUUGUUGCAAUUUAAAUGAGGCGAGGGGAAAAUAUGCUAAUUUUGCUUGUGACAAGUGAAGUAAUUCUUGUGGCUGAGAAGAUAUAUUGGUCGCCAUAUACUACUCUUGCAUGUUUAGUUUAUUUUUUCGGUCUAUUUUAUAUUGGAAUCCAAUAACGUAUACGCGCUUUUAUUAUCACAAAUUAUUUGUUGCAAUUUAAAUGAGGCGAGGAAAAAAUAUGCUAAUGUUGCUUGUGGCAAGUGAAGUAAUUCUUGUGGCCAUUAUCAUUUUAAUUAAUCAAACAUGCAAAUCGGACGUCAUUUAUUGAUUUAACAUACAAAAUUUCAAAUAUGAAACAGCUGCUCGGUUACGCAUACACGCGCAUACGUUUGCAAAAAUUAUUUGUAUUGUCUCAAUAAUGAAAAGUCUCAAAUACUGCACCUUUCUUUUAUAUUGCAAGCUUCAAAAAGCAAUUUUAAAUGUAAACUUUCAUUAAUAUAAACACGGCUUGUAAUUUUCUAGUACCUAAAUUAAUGUAACUAUAAAUUGAUUCAUUUGUUUACGAAGUAUUUUAAUAAAGCUAUCUCAUUGAGUUUCAUUUCUUUGUCUGACUAUAGUAAACACUACGCCAGGCAAGGCCAAGGGUAAUAGUU